ensembl:ncRNA C18D1.20 ncRNA
GCGAAAAAGUAUCUUGGAAUGUCCGAAACCCAAGGCGUGCGCGCAACCAAAAAAAUGGAUGAGCGAAGAUGAGGGUGAGAGACGACCACCACGAAACACAAACCAGAUUGAUUCUCGCUUAAUUGACAAGGCUUGUGAUGAGACGAAAAAAUGGAUGAAGGAGGGAAGGAGAAGCCAGAAAAAUGGAUGAAAGAGAUAGAGAGAGAAAGGGGGAGAACGAAACGAACUGUUUCGGGGGUGGUUGGAGGGGGAGAUUACUGUAUAGUUUGAGUGGCUUU